AUUGAACGCUGGCGGCAGGCUUAACACAUGCAAGUCGAGCGGGGGAAGGUAGCUUGCUACUGGACCUAGCGGCGGACGGGUGAGUAAUGCUUAGGAAUCUGCCUAUUAGUGGGGGACAACAUCUCGAAAGGGAUGCUAAUACCGCAUACGUCCUACGGGAGAAAGCAGGGGAUCUUCGGACCUUGCGCUAAUAGAUGAGACUAAGUCGGAGUAGCUAGUUGGUGGGGUAAAGGCCUACCAAGGCGACGAUCUGUAGCGGGUCUGAGAGGAUGAUCCGCCACACUGGGACGGAGACACGGCCCAGACUCCUACGGGAGGCAGCAGUGGGGAAUAUUGGUCAAUGUGGGGAACCCUGAUCUAGUCAUGCCGCGUGUGUGAAGGAGGCCUUAUGGUUGUAAAGCACUUUAAGCUAGGAAGAGGCUACUUUAGUUAAUACCUAGAGAUAGUGGACGUUACUCGCAGAAUAAGCACCGGCUAACUCUGUGCCAGCCGCCGCGGUAA
rnacentral:rRNA from 1 species